UACGUAGGUGGCAAGCGUUAUCCGGAUUUAUUGGGUGUAAAGGGCGUGUAGGCGGGAAUGCAAGUCAGAUGUGAAAACUAUGGGCUCAACCCAUAGCCUGCAUUUGAAACUGUAUUUCUUGAGUGCUGGAGAGGCAAUCGGAAUUCCUAGUGUAGCGGUGAAAUGCGUAGAUAUUAGGAAGAACACCAGUGGCGAAGGCGGAUUACUGGACGAUAACUGACGGUGAGGCGCGAAAGCGUGGGGAGCAAACAGG
rnacentral:rRNA from 1 species